AAGUCGUAACAAGGUUUCCGUAGGUGAACCUGCGGAAGGAUCAUUACAAUACGUUUACACGUAUAAACCCCAAACGUUGAACAGUUAGUUUUGAGUCCGUUAGGUUGGGUUCUGGCUGCUUCGAGGCGGGAAACGUCCUUCACAGACCAAACAUGCUCUCGGGCGUGUUCGGUUCGAAGGAUGGGUCAAAGUGCCUUGAUUCGGCUUACCAAGUUGCGUUAAGUGAUGCGGUAGACCUUUCCUAGCACGCGUACUCUUUUCCCAAACUUUGACUACCCAUUAUUAACCCUUAUCACCUUUUACUGUUCAAAAUUGAACUUAAACACGAUUCAUGCUUCGAAAGGAGCAAAUACGAAUCGACAAGAUACGAAACUUAAGAACAACUCUUAACAACGGAUAUCUUGGCUCUC
rnacentral:misc_RNA from 1 species